CAUACUACCAACGGCGGCGCGAGCGUAAGCCUCUUGGAACAGAGCGUCUACGUGGGUGAGAAUCCUGUGUUUCGCUUGAUGCCCGCCGUGCACGGUACUUGCUCUCAGAGUCACGCUCCUCGGAAUUGGAGCAGUAAAUUGGGUGGUAAAUUUCAUCUAAAGCUAAAUACAGGCUCGAGACCGAUAGCAAACAAGUACCAUGAGGGAAAGAUGAAAAGGACUUUGAAAAGAGAGUUAAAAGUGCUUGAAAUCGCUGAACUGGAAGCGAAUGGAACUAGUGCUCUGGUUGAGAUUGCUGUAAAUGGCUGCGACAUCUGGGCUCUGGAACGCAAGUCCUUUGUCUGGCUUGAAGUAGUCGCUUGCAAUGUGUCUCAGCUUGAACAUCAACUUCUAUGCAUACGUGAGGAUGGCCCUUGGCUCAUGCUGUGUUGCUGUGGCGAUACUCUUGUGCUUCUGGGGAUU
rnacentral:rRNA from 1 species